AUUGAACGCUGGCGGCAUGCUUUACACAUGCAAGUCGAACGGUAACAGGCCUUCGGGUGCUGACGAGUGGCGAACGGGUGAGUAAUGCAUCGGAACGUACCCAGAGGUGGGGGAUAACGCAGCGAAAGCUGUGCUAAUACCGCAUGUGAUCUGAGGAUGAAAGCGGGGGACCGAGCAGCAAUGUUUGGCCUCGCGCCUUUGGAGCGGCCGAUGUCGGAUUAGCUAGUUGGUGGGGUAAAGGCCUACCAAGGCGACGAUCCGUAGCUGGUCUGAGAGGACGACCAGCCACACUGGGACUGAGACACGGCCCAGACUCCUACGGGAGGCAGCAGUGGGGAAUUUUGGACAAAGGGCGCAAGCCUGAUCCAGCAAUGCCGCGUGCGGGAAGAAGGCCUUCGGGAUGUAAACCGCUUUUGGCAGGAACGAAACGGUGUCCGCUAAUACCGGGCGCUAAUGACGGUACCUGCAGAAUAAGCACCGGCUAACUACGUG
rnacentral:rRNA from 1 species